GGAGCAGAAGCCCAUGGCCUGGAGAAACGUAUAUUUUUCAGGAUUUGUCAUCCCCUGACUACACAGCACUCGGGACACACUCCUUCCUACCUGGAGUUUGGUAUUGAUAUUGAAUUCCUCAAUGGAGAACAGCCUUGGGAACCAGAGAGCCUGCUGCAGACUUACUGUGAAACCCAGCCUCUCCUCGGAGGACUAAGAAGAGAUGUCUUCUUCUGCCUUAUGGACUCUGAUUUCUCUCUCUCUCUCUCUCUCUCUCUCUCUCUGGAGACUCCAUCAUGCUGUUGCUUCUCUACCUGUCCAUGGAAUUAAUAGCUCUUCUAAUAAGUGUCUUAAUCCCUAGUAAUCUUUAAGGGUUCCUCUUGGACACCCUACCCCGCCACCACCAUCCAAAACCCAACAAUAACUGACCAUUUUCUCAGUUGUUGAUGUUUACUGGGAGAUAAAUAGCUUCAGAUAACAGUUAACGGGAUCUUGAUGAACAAACCAGAAAAGAGCUAGUACCAGCCAUGGGGAUGCAGUGUUAGGAGGGCUGGUUUCUGGAGACAUGCCAGCGCCUGGAAGCACACACUCUCCCAGGUCAUC
rnacentral:lncRNA from 1 species